CGAGGUGAAAAUGAAACUCAAAUCUGAUUAGAAUUUGGAAUUUCAGAGCCUGUGCUGAACCCCUUGUAAUUCUCGAGCCAUUAAGCUUCCCAACUUGUCAAGAGGUGCCCUGAAACGGGAUUCGAGCCUGCAUCAUCUAUUUGCUUUACAACUGUUUGGUACCGCGCCACCGUAAAUUUGCUCUUCAGCUCGCAGCCUGCUGAUCUUUUCGGCGGACCCAUCAGUCGAGUUUUAUCAAAAUUGUGCAGCCUUCGUCUGACUAACGCAGAAAAUAUGCAGUUACUUCAAGUAAAGUCCUUUUUCAUUCUUGAGGUUACAUUGUGUGUAUUAUGGCACGUGGAGGUCGAUGGAAGAAGUCAG